UGGCGCGAGGACGUCGCGCCCGGCGGCCGGACAUGGCUCUCCUGAUGGGAUCCGUAGGUCGCCAGUUGGGUCGCGUCGGGCAGAUUUUUUGAAAGGACUGCCUGUCUACAACAAAAGCAAUUUUAGUCGAUUUCAUGCUGACUCUGUGUGCAAAGCUUCGAACCGGCGUCCUUCAGUCUACCUGCCCACCCGGGAGUACCCAUCUGAACAGAUCAUCGUGACAGAAAAGACAAACAUCCUUUUGCGCUACCUACAUCAGCAAUGGGACAAAAAGAAUGCCGCAAAGAAGAGAGACCAGGAGCAAGUGGACCUUGAGGGUGAGAGCUCUGCACCCCCCCGCAAGGUCGCACGGACCGAUAGCCCGGACAUGCAUGAGGACACUUAAGACUCUCACUCCCCCACAGGCGCCUCCUGUCUUGUCUGCUCCUCGCCCGCCCGCCUUGUGUAAGCGCCCCCUGCCCUGCCCCUACCGGCCCACCACACCUGACCAUACCACUUCCAACCUCAUAGGAGCCGAUGUAUUUAUUUUCCUUGAGUUUUUAUUUAUGCUGUAAAAUGUACCAAGCGAUGGUUAAAGGGGACGUCAGACCCAGUAGUGUGAUGUUGGUAGAUGCUUUUUAAAAAACAUUGUUAUUCACAAACCCCACUACCCAGAACCCCCUUUUACUCCCCCACCCCCCUCCAAUUCUCCUCCGGAAAAACCAGAGCUUGUCUGCAAGGGUCUAGAGCCAGGGCCCUGCUGUGGCCCAGCAGCAUGGGUGGGAGCCUUUCUCCCUGCUCCUGCUCUCCAGUCCGGGCCUUAAAGACUUGGCUGGGACCUAUUCUGUGCCCAGGCUUUGCUCUGAAUGUGUGCCAGGGGGAGAAGUCGGCAUUUCCGGAUCUUUCUCUUAAGUCAUUUUAUCAUGGACUAGUGCGUGCUCCGUGUCCACCCCAAUAAAAGGAUCUUUCCUACUCGACCUCGCGUCUUUGCUCCGUGUGCCUCAGCCCCAGAGGACGGAGCCACUGAGAGUCGACUCGUCAUCACCAAGAGGAGCCAAGAGGGGCCCCCACGUGCCAGGGCCCUGGGACCCACUGGAUUCUCUCAUGGGCCUGCCAUGGCCACCUCGCUCAGAGCCAAGACCUGUCUGGACCCACCCCCAUGCCUCACCUGACAAGGUGUCCCAAAGGACCAGGACACCCCUGAGAGAUGGUCCAUGUCGCCAAGGACAUAACUGUGGUCAACCCGCGCCCUGGAUGCCUUGGGUCAGGGUGGCAUGCCCACCAGCCACUGUGGAGACAGCCCAGGUGGCCUGGCCUCAAGUGCGCCUGAUUCAGAGAUGAGGUGCACGGAGCUGCAAGGAACACCCAGCCCAGGGGCUGUGUCGGUCAGCGGAGUUCCACAGCCACUCGUGGGCUGUCAGCUAGGCUGAGUUGGGCCUGAGCUUGGAGACCUAGGGGGCGUUCAGGCUCUAGGCAGAAGGUUUGAGGCUUCGAACACUGGGCCUGGGGCUAGGGGGAGCUCUGUUUCUCCCUCUGCACCAGUCUCAAGUGGGGGCCAUGUCUGGGAACUGAGUGCUGUGGCUUUUUGGGGAGAUGAAUGGUUGGGCUAUGGAGCUGGAAGGAAUACCAGGCCUUAGGGGGAACCCACCCCAGAUUAUCACUGUGGAGGGCCCUGACUGAGCCAGACUGCUCCGGAAUGGGCCACCCAUUGCCUCCCAGGUGGAAGGUUCUAGGGUUCACCACCUAGGUGUGCCCUGGGGCCAAGGAGCUUUUCCUCCUAGCUCUGGGUGGCUUUUAUACCUGUGUUGAGUCCUUUCAGUCACAGAUGCAAGCUGACCUGGGUGGUGCUCUGGUGGGCUGAGUCCCCAGAGGUGCUCAGAUGCCUUGGAAUCUCCAGCCCCAGGGCUUGGUCUGAUGCUAGGCAGGCAUGUGGUGUUGCUAAUUAUUAGCUUCAAAGGCCACAGGACAGUGGGAACAGGUGUCACUGCUGCCCUUGCCUCUUGCCCUGGUUCCCCGAGAGACUGGGUUCGUCUCCUGUCAGCAUAAUCCGUGGCUCAGGCAGGAGUCCCAGAGCCAGGGACCACCGAGGUCUCCUGAGUGUGGGCUCCUCAGCCAGCCUUUGCCCACUUUUCCUGCCUUUGGGACCGCCCCUUAUUCCUCUGCUCCUUCAGACACCAAACUCUGCCUUCCCACACCUCUGUGCCUUUGCACAGGCUGCUCUCCUGCUUCUGGUGAACCCUGGUUUCUCUUUCAUAACCCUCCAAAGUGCCCCUUCCUCACACUGGCUCCCCCAGGACCCCCCAGCCACUCGGCAGGGCCCACUAGACUCGGAGCCUUUGGCUGUGGACACGCUUGAGGGUGGGAGGGGCUGCACACCCCCCCUGACCACACGAGGUAGAAGUAGAGUCCCAGCAACUGGGUCUGACAGCAACCCCUGCGGUAGGGUGUCGCGGCCGCUCCCCAAUGCCAUCCCUGCAAGUGCCAUCCCCUCAACAUCCAGACGCGGGUGCCAGGUGCCUUCUGAUUUUCAUAUACCCCAAGUUCUUUCCACCGCAUGUGGCUCCUCAUGGCAGCCGGGGAAGCAGUUAUGCCAGAAAAUGGGGCCAACAGGACUGUAUCACCCCUGUCCCCCUACAGGGCCAAGGCCAACUCAGGACCCAGGCCUAGCACCCAAACUGCUGAGUCUGUUCAACACUGAGAUUUCUUCUUUUGUCUGGGAGGCUGAAGCCAGGGCCUGAGGCUCUGCAGCUCCUCCCAGGGCCCCCAAAUCUGGGCCGACUUGGAGUUGGUGCAGUCUGGAGUUUUCCAUCUGUGGCCUCAAGACCCAGUUCUUAGGAGGAGGCCCCCAAGGGUCAUGGGAUGGGAGGGGCACCCACCCUAGGCCUGCUAGGUCCCUGGAAAGCCAGCACCAACUACAGGUCACUGGGCCCCCUGAUCCCCCUUCCACUGCUCUGUCCUCGGGCACUGUUGAAAUAUACUUUUUAUUGCAUUUCUGCCGUUUUACAAAAAUAUGACAAAAUAAAUUAAAAACAAAUAAA
rnacentral:lncRNA from 1 species